AUACUAUUGCGCGGUUACCGCGGCUGCUGGCACGGAGUUAGCCGGUGCUUCUUCUGCGAGUAACGUCACAGAUGUAAGGUAUUAACUUACACCCUUUCCUCCUCGCUGAAAGUGCUUUACAACCCGAAGGCCUUCUUCACACACGCGGCAUGGCUGCAUCAGGGUUUCCCCCAUUGUGCAAUAUUCCCCACUGCUGCCUCCCGUAGGAGUCUGGGCCGUGUCUCAGUCCCAGUGUGGCUGAUCAUCCUCUCAGACCAGCUAGGGAUCGUCGCCUAGGUGAGCCUUUACCUCACCUACUAGCUAAUCCCACCUGGGCUUAUCCAUCAGCGCAAGGCCCGAAGGUCCCCUGCUUUCCCCCGUAGGGCGUAUGCGGUAUUAGCAGUCGUUUCCAACUGUUAUCCCCCACAAAUGGGCAAAUUCCCAGGCAUUACUCACCCGUCCGCCGCUCGUCAUCUUCAAAAGCAAGCUUUUGAAAUGUUACCGCUCGACUUGCAUGUGUUAGGCCUGCCGCCAGCGUUCAAUCU
rnacentral:rRNA from 1 species